UUCCGUAAAAGGGCAUUUGAAAAUGUUUCCCAGUGUCUAUUUAUUCUUUCAUUACUGUUAUUGUAUUUUAAUCUUCUGUAUGCAUCUUUGACAAUGGUAUAGAUUCUAGUAUUUUUGAUUUUUUAAAACCUCUUUGAUGAUUACAAAAGGCCGAUGAAAAAGGCAUAAGCCCCUUGCCGAUCCUGUCAGAAAGCAAAGGGGCGGUUGCCCUGUCUCAGGCAGUACCUUCUGAAAAUAAGUGUUAAUAUAGUCUUUGUCCAUUUCUAGGUUUUUCCUCUUCAUUCUUAAUUUAUCCCAUUAAAGAAUAUGUAUGUGUACACGUAACAAUAUGCAUUUAAAAAAGCUACAAGUAAAAAGACAAUUGUAGAAAUUGUGAAUUUGCUUUGCGUCCAUAACCUGAUUUAUAUCUUUCUUGAUAGAAUUAAAUCAAUCAGAAUGAAGAGACGACAUUCGUAGACUUCAAGGUUGGUCAAAAAUAUCAGCUCUCAGGUCUGCAACAGGUGAAUAUGCUGAGGAAUACAGCUUUUACUCUGGUAUAUAAAUGGACUGCAAGGAGAAUGAUAGGCCAUCAGCGAAAAACUUAACGGAGAUGCAUGGCACCUGAAAUGAUGUCUGCCUACAAAAAGAUCAAAUAUCAUCUUGAAAAGUGAGUUUUGAUUCUAUAUCGUAAUAUUUUACUAUUACCUGAAUCGUGCCAAGUGACAACUUGUACUUUCUAUUUUUAUAAUUUGCAUAUAACGUGCACUGCUUAGCGCUAAAUUUCAAGAAACUGCGAAAUCAUGCUUGAUAUAUUUAACAUAAAGUAUUUCAGUUUAACAUUCAUAACCACAAAAGUAGCAAAACAAUUUCACUUUAUUGGAGCCUCAGUUUUGUGCUGUCUUCACAUAUUGGAAAACCAUUCGUAAAAUAUUAUGAAGUCUAUAAUAUUCUCUGUAUUAGAAAUGGUUUCAAAUGAUGCUCAAAAUGUUCAGUAAUUUUUUUUUUACUCCAAUCGUUCAAGCAUUCAAAUAGUUCA